rnacentral:rRNA from 1 species
UACGUAGGGUGCGAGCGUUAAUCGGAAUUACUGGGCGUAAAGCGUGCGCAGGCGGCGCCGCAAGUCAGGCGUGAAAUCCCCGAGCUUAACUUGGGAAUGGCGCUUGAAACUACGGUGCUGGAGUGUGGCAGAGGGAGGUGGAAUUCCACGUGUAGCAGUGAAAUGCGUAGAGAUGUGGAGGAACACCGAUGGCGAAGGCAGCCCCCUGGGCUGAGAUUGACGCUCAGGCACGAAAGCGUGGGGAGCAAACAGG